rnacentral:tRNA from 1 species
GUGGGGUUGGCUGAUUGGCGAGGCACUGGACUGCAAAUCCAGGUUAGACCGGUUCGAUUCCGGUACCCCACUCCA